CAAAGGUGGGGUUAGGGUGCUGGAGAGAAAGGGUAUCUAACUGCCCAAGGAAUCUUUGGCCCUGUUAAGAAAGAGUCUGUUUGCUAGGGAGUAGAAAGGGAAAAAUGGAGAAAUAAUUCUCCAGCCUCACAGUAAUUGCUAGUUGCUAUUCUUGGGUCAACUUAUUAAAGAAUCAGUAAUGUGGCAAAAAUAAAUGAGCUUGUCUUAAGGUUUCAUAAUACUUAGUGAUAUACUUGGUCUCAUCUGUUUGCCACGUAAACUGCUCAAAAAAGGAAUGGAUGUUAAGAAUUGAACAAAACCCGUUAUUCUUUGUCACCAUAUAUGAACAUCAACCCAAUAUCAUUGUAACAUUUAAGAAAGGAGAAGAGGAAUAAAGGAGGUCCAGGGAAAUGUACCGAAACACAUGGAAUAUUUGAUCAUACCAAUCAUCUGUUCCAGAGAAGGCUUCAUGAAGGAGAUAUUUAGCUAGAUGAUCAGGAUAGAAAAGAGAAGAGACCAAGAAAGAAUGUCAUCUCAGAUGAAGUCUCAAGCAGAUCACUUACACUUGAAAGUCUGUCUUCUCAAAGCAAAGGAACGGGAUGUUCGUUUUCUCAUGUCAUUUACUCAUUGGCUAGUGGUAUCUCAGGGAGGUGUGGGAUAUAAAACUCCCAGGUACUAUUAGCUCUCCUCCUUCAGUGCCUAAGUAGAAUCCUAAGAAUGUCACAGAAGGGAUGCUUUAGCAGCAGUAUACAUAGAAACUGGGGCAUGGAUUCACAGAGCUAGUAAAAGGCCAUUCAAAUUAGGAUGUCAGUAACCCUACCUG